rnacentral:rRNA from 1 species
GAUGAACGCUGGCGGCGUGCUUAACACAUGCAAGUCGAACGGUGAAGGCGGAGCUUGCUCUGCUGGAUCAGUGGCGAACGGGUGAGUAACACGUGAGCAAUCUGCCCCUGACUCUGGGAUAAGCGCUGGAAACGCCGUCUAAUACUGGAUACGAGCUGCGAAGGCAUCUUCAGCAGCUGUAAAGAACUUCGGUCAGGGAUGAUCUCGCGGCCUAUCAGCUUGUUGGUGGGGUAACGGCUCACCAAGGCGUCGACGGGUAGCCGGCCUGAGAGGGUGACCGGCCACACUGGGACUGAGAGACGGCCCAGACGCCUACGGGAGGCAGCAGUGGGGAAUAUUGCACAAUGGGCGAAAGCCUGAUGCAGCAACGCCGGGUGAGGGAAGACGGCCUUCGGGUUGUAAACCUCUUUUAGCAGGGAAGAAGCGAAAGUGACGGUACCUGCAGAAAAAGCGCCGGCUAACUACGUG